GACGAACGCUGGCGGCAUGCUUAACACAUGCAAGUCGAACGGUAAGGCCCUUCGGGGGUACACGAGUGGCGAACGGGUGAGUAACACGUGGGUGAUCUGCCCUGCACUUCGGGAUAAGCCUGGGAAACUGGGUCUAAUACCGGAUAGGACCCUGGGAUGCAUGUCCUGGGGUGGAAAGCUUUUGCGGUGUGGGAUGGGCCCGCGGCCUAUCAGCUUGUUGGUGGGGUGAUGACCUACCAAGGCGACGACGGGUAGCCGGCCUGAGAGGGUGACCGGCCACACUGGGACUGAGAUACGGCCCAGACUCCUACGGGAGGCAGCAGUGGGGAAUAUUGCACAAUGGGCGCAAGCCUGAUGCAGCGACGCCGCGUGAGGGAUGACGGCCUUCGGGUUGUAAACCUCUUUCAGCACCGACGAAGCGCAAGUGACGGUAGGUGCAGAAGAAGGACCGGCCAACUACGUGCCAGCCGCCGCAGUAA
rnacentral:rRNA from 1 species